rnacentral:rRNA from 1 species
UUUUACAAUGAAGAGUUUGAUCCUGGCUCAGGAUGAACGCUAGCUACAGGCUUAACACAUGCAAGUCGAGGGGCAUCAGGAAGAAAGCUUGCUUUCUUUGCUGGCGACCGGCGCACGGGUGAGUAACACGUAUCCAACCUGCCCUUUACUCGGGGAUAGCCUUUCGAAAGAAAGAUUAAUACCCGAUGGGAUAAUCAUUCCGCAUGGUUUGAUUAUUAAAGGAUUCCGGUAAAGGAUGGGGAUGCGUUCCAUUAGGUUGUUGGUGAGGUAACGGCCCACCAAGCCUUCGAUGGAUAGGGGUUCUGAGAGGAAGGUCCCCCACAUUGGAACUGAGACACGGUCCAAACUCCUACGGGAGGCAGCAGUGAGGAAUAUUGGUCAAUGGGCGCGAGCCUGAACCAGCCAAGUAGCGUGAAGGAUGACUGCCCUAUGGGUUGUAAACUUCUUUUAUAUUAGAAUAAAGUGCAGUAUGUAUACUGUUUUGUAUGUAUAAUAUGAAUAAGGAUCGGCUAACUCCGUGCCAGCAGCCGCGGUAAUACGGAGGAUCCGAGCGUUAUCCGGAUUUAUUGGGUUUAAAGGGAGCGUAGGUGGACUGGUAAGUCAGUUGUGAAAGUUUGCGGCUCAACCGUAAAAUUGCAGUUGAUACUGUCAGUCUUGAGUACAGUAGAGGUGGGCGGAAUUCGUGGUGUAGCGGUGAAAUGCUUAGAUAUCACGAAGAACUCCGAUUGCGAAGGCAGCUCACUGGACUGCAACUGACACUGAUGCUCGAAAGUGUGGGUAUCAAACAGGAUUAGAUACCCUGGUAGUCCACACAGUAAACGAUGAAUACUCGCUGUUUGCGAUAUACAGUAAGCGGCCAAGCGAAAGCAUUAAGUAUUCCACCUGGGGAGUACGCCGGCAACGGUGAAACUCAAAGGAAUUGACGGGGGCCCGCACAAGCGGAGGAACAUGUGGUUUAAUUCGAUGAUACGCGAGGAACCUUACCCGGGCUUAAAUUGCAGUGGAAUGAUGUGGAAACAUGUCAGUGAGCAAUCACCGCUGUGAAGGUGCUGCAUGGUUGUCGUCAGCUCGUGCCGUGAGGUGUCGGCUUAAGUGCCAUAACGAGCGCAACCCUUAUCUUCAGUUACUAACAGGUCAUGCUGAGGACUCUGGAGAGACUGCCGUCGUAAGAUGUGAGGAAGGUGGGGAUGACGUCAAAUCAGCACGGCCCUUACGUCCGGGGCUACACACGUGUUACAAUGGGGGGUACAGAAGGCAGCUACCUGGUGACAGGAUGCUAAUCCCAAAAGCCUCUCUCAGUUCGGAUCGAAGUCUGCAACCCGACUUCGUGAAGCUGGAUUCGCUAGUAAUCGCGCAUCAGCCACGGCGCGGUGAAUACGUUCCCGGGCCUUGUACACACCGCCCGUCAAGCCAUGGGAGCCGGGGGUACCUGAAGUACGUAACCGCAAGGAGCGUCCUAGGGUAAAACUGGUGACUGGGGCUAAGUCGUAACAAGGUAGCCGUACCGGAAGGUGCGGCUGGAACACCUCCUUUCUGGAGC